rnacentral:rRNA from 1 species
CAGUCGCCGCGGUAAAACGAGGGGGGCAAGCGUUGUUCGGAAUUAUUGGGCGUAAAGGGCGCGUAGGCGGUUUGGCAAGUUUGGUGUGAAAUCUUCGGGCUCAACUCGAAGUCUGCAUCGAAAACUGCCGGGCUUGAGUGUGGGAGAGGUGAGUGGAAUUUCCGGUGUAGCGGUGAAAUGCGUAGAUAUCGGAAGGAACACCUGUGGCGAAAGCGGCUCACUGGACCACAACUGACGCUGAGGCGCGAAAGCUAGGGGAGCAAACAGGAUUAGAUACCCGAGUAGUCCCUGUCUCUUAUAC